rnacentral:rRNA from 1 species
UACAGAGGGUGCGAGCGUUUAAUCGGAAUUACUGGGCGUAAAGCGUGCGUAGACGGUUAUUUAAGUCGGGUGUGAAAGCCCCGGGCUCAACCUGGGAAUUGCAUUCGAGACUGAAUAGCUAGGGUGCGGUAGAGGGAAGCGGAAUUUCCGGUGUAGCGGUGAAAUGCGUAGAGAUGUGGAGGAACACCAGUGGCGAAGGCGGCUUUCUGGUCUGUAACUGACGCUGAGGCGCGAAAGCGUGGGGAGCAAACAGG